rfam:Tolypothrix sp. PCC 7601 strain TTEX B 481 genomic scaffold FDTTEX481_Contig1, whole genome shotgun sequence.
CUUUCAACCCACCACCAGCCGUGAGGGUUAUUGAAAC